rnacentral:rRNA from 1 species
GACGAACGCUGGCGGCGUGCUUAACACAUGCAAGUCGAACGGUAAGGCCCUUCGGGGUACGCGAGUGGCGAACGGGUGAGUAACACGUGGGUGAUCUGCCCUGCACUUCGGGAUAAGCCUGGGAAACUGGGUCUAAUACCGGAUAGGACCACUGCCUGCAUGGGUGGUGGUGGAAAGCUUUUGCGGUGUGGGAUGGGCCCGCGGCCUAUCAGCUUGUUGGUGGGGUGAUGGCCUACCAAGGCGACGACGGGUAGCCGGCCUGAGAGGGUGACCGGCCACAAUGGGACUGAGAUACGGCCCAAACUCCUACGGGAGGCAGCAGUGGGGAAUAUUGCACAAUGGGCGCAAGCCUGAUGCAGCGACGCCGCGUGAGGGAUGACGGCCUUCGGGUUGUAAACCUCUUUCAGCACCGACGAAGCGCAAGUGACGGUAGGUGCAGAAGAAGGACCGGCCAACUACGUGCCAGCAGCCGCGGUAA